rnacentral:rRNA from 1 species
CCCAGACUCCUACGGGAGGCAGCAGUGGGGAAUAUUGCACAAUGGGGGGAACCCUGAUGCAGCGACGCCGCGUGAGUGAAGAAGUAUCUCGGUACGUAAAGCUCUAUCAGCAGGGAAGAAAAUGACGGUACCUGACUAAGAAGCCCCGGCUAACUACGUGCCAGCAGCCGCGGUAAUACGUAGGGGGCAAGCGUUAUCCGGAUUUACUGGGUGUAAAGGGAGCGUAGACGGCAAUACAAGUCGGAAGUGAAAUACCCGGGCUCAACCUGGGAACUGCUUUGGAAACUGUAUGGCUAGAGUGCUGGAGAGGUAAGCGGAAUUCCUAGUGUAGCGGUGAAAUGCGUAGAUAUUAGGAGGAACACCAGUGGCGAAGGCGGCUUACUGGACAGUAACUGACGUUGAGGCUCGAAAGCGUGGGGAGCAAACAGGAUUAGAUACCCGCGUA